AUCCACCCUCAUACGACCAGGAGAAACCAUAGAGAAGAGACAGCUUCUCGCGCGAAGGAAUUAUUGAUACAAAAGCGCUACUCCGAAUUAGGAAAACACUUUGUUUUCAGAAAACCACAAUGCAAACGGGAGCUGUUGUUUUUAUUGGUCAGAAGAGGAACAAAUCGGUUUUCUGGAGCACAGGAAUUGAGCUGAAUAAAUAAUACUUCAUUCACUUCCCUGCUAAUUCUCCUCAAAGGGACAUCAAUACAGCCAAUGAAAAGCCCUCCGUUGGAGUCAAGCUAAACAAAUCCACACCCUGGUCUGUCUGAAUAUAAAAAUGCCUCAUUUUGUACCUCUAGUCUUUCACAUCACCUCUCAGCUACAAGGUAAAAAGCUGAAUCAUCAUCAGUUUUUGGAAAUCAACAUAUUUAAGUCUUUCAGAGUUGUCUUCCUUUACAACAUUAAAGUCACUGUAUAAAUUGUUCUCCUGGUUCUACUCCUUUUACUCAGUGUCGGUUCAUAAAGUCUUUUCAGGUUGCUGUAAAUCUGUCCCUUUGAUCAUUUUUUAAUAGCACAACAGCAUGCCAUUCCAUUCCCCUGCACUCGAGGUGUCAAACUCCUAUAGGCAAGUGGCCUGAACCAGAUGAAAAUGUGAUGGGGAAAUGGUUAACAAAAUAAAUAAAAAUGCAAUCCAACAUAAUGUU